AACUGAUAAAUGAAAUUGUUUUUAAUUUAUUAAUGUAACUUCUGUUCACCAUCCACACUACACUUGCCUACACUGUAACUUCUGUUCCAUAUUGUAAUUCAAACCCCAUUUUAAAACACUCACUCCAUUUUGUAAAAGCUUCCUCCAACCUUCAUUUUUGCAAACCCUGCUGUAAUCUUAUUAGUUUAGUUUAGAUGUGUGAAUGAGGUAUGUGUGGAUGAUGGAAUCAACCUCCAGCCCCAGCCCGUCCUGAUGAGAUAAAGUUCAAAUACCAAUGGCUGAAGACCUAGACAACAGCCCUAAACAAAGUAAGAAGCAUCCACCCUAAAAAGAAAAGGACAACAGAACAACAGAGGGAAGAUCAAAGCCAAGUUCAAGGCUGAAAGUCAGGCCUGCAAUUGACGGGUGAUCAAUCCAAACCCAGAGGCAGCAUGACACAGCAAGACCUAGAGACUUUGAAUCCAAACUAAAAGCCUAUAAAAGAGAAGGGUGAAAUGAGAGACUCUGGGUAACAUUCUGCUGCCAACAUGGAAGGACAUCGGUGCAGGCCCAGCAGAGACCCAGCUCGGCCUUGUGCCCAGCUUUCCUGGCCAGUUACCGCCACAAGCUACGAACCCAAGCUACAAAAUCAAGCUAUGAACUUAAGCUAUCUUCAGGACUGACGGAGGCUCUGAGCUCUGCGGAGGGUUGUGGAGCCAAAGGCCGGCCAGAAAGCGUCUGUGUGGAUGCAAAUCGCCUGACUGGUAAAGAAAGAAAAGAACUGCCCAGAGACGGCAGCACCAAGGAGCUGCGGAUAAAGGACAGACCUGGUCCGCAGACAAACCACCCGGAACCCAAGGGCUCAAAUUCUGACCCUCCAGAAGAAGGUGAGAAAGAAAGUCAAACCUAAAGCUGAAAAAGGAACAGGGUGAAGAAACCAGAGCUGCAGAAGGGCGGAGGCCGAGGAAGGCCCGUCUGUUACCAGGGACACAUCCUCAGGCAGCAGACGCCAUAUUAGGAAGGACUGGUUUUAAAGCAGGAAUUGGAAAGACUAUAAAGCUGGAGGUAAUUAAAAAUAAGUUUCUUGUCACAACUGCAAAACAGUCUCCUUCCCAAGCAGGCAGAUACGUAGGAGAUAAAACGGCCUUGGCCACAGGACGCAGGGAUGCGAAUUCUUAGUUUAGCGUCACUUAAGCACGAAAUGUUUUGGGUGACAUCUGGGAAUGUUCGGGGAUUAACGCAACUUUUAAAACAACAACAGAAGUCCUUGUUUAACACCUACAGAUGUAAAUGAGGGCAAUGUGUUUCCAGCGUGGUUAAGCCUCAUUUGUCAUUAGGUAAAAUGAGUGUUAAAAUUGUUCACCAACAGUCUACAAAAACAGAAACAUAAAAAGUGGCCCCGUUCCCAAAAUUGACCAUGGGAUCCUUUGGGCUACCCCAGGUUAUGGGUCAGUGGGCUAACCCCCCCCAAAGAAUGAUUGGCCACCCUUGGGUGUACAGAGUAAAACCCUCAGAAAUGAGUGUGCUUGUCACCUGUCACCACAAAACCAUGUAGCAAAAAUACCUGAUUGGAAACGUGUGUAAGACAAACUAAAAAAUGGAACACAUGUUUUGUACAGCGGCCAACGUGUAAGUGUUACAUGCUGGAACACAGGAUUUGGGGAGGAUGCAAGUAUCAGCCAACCCGCAGUGGAUGAAUGUAGGUGUAAUGCCCGUGUGUUAGAUACUAGCAAUCACACGCACUAGUGCCCAGAGACGGGAGAAGCACAGAGCACUGUUACUGCCACCCCGGUUAAUUUUUCUGUUUUCCAACCGACACAGAGGGCUAUAGAGAAGCGCGCCAUUCAAAGAUUACGUGCCAAUGGAGACAUGCUAAAAAUGGCUAAGUCUGAAAGAGGACGGGCAGCCUGUCCCUGGUGCGAUGUUUUCCCAGGCUGGCCACCGCCCUCUAAGGGCAAAUUGUCUAUUAUGUUUCACCCAUUACUAGUUGGGUUAAUAGUGUCCUGUCUUUGCUUGCUAGGAACGUGUUGUACGUGUUGUUGGACAAAAAGAAAGUUUGUUAAAUUACAACCACAAGCUCAAAUGGCCUCUCAGUAUAUUGCUAUGAAAUAGUUGUAUCAAAUAAGACCCACUCGAGGAUUGUUCUUGAGGGGUCAAAAGGGGGACGUGUAAUAGUAGGAUCUUAUGUUUGUAUUUUGUAUAAUUCUGUGUCUGAGCUGAUUUCAAGGCAGUGACAGACCUUUGAGGGUCACCACAUGGUUGUAGGCUUGUCGAAGUAAAAGAAUGCCGGAUUGUUUUCCUCUGCA